AACGAACGCUGGCGGCAGGCUUAACACAUGCAAGUCGAACGGGUGUAGCAAUACAUCAGUGGCAGACGGGUGAGUAACACGUGGGAACCUUCCUAGGGGUACGGAACAACUCAGGGAAACUUGAGCUAAUACCGUAUACGUCCGUGAGGAGAAAGAUUUAUCGCCCUUAGACGGGCCCGCGUCGGAUUAGGUAGUUGGUGGGGUAACGGCCUACCAAGCCUACGCUCCGUAGCUGAUCUUAGAGGAUGAUCAGCCACACUGGGACUGAGACACGGCCCAGACUCCUCCGGGAGGCAGCAGUGGGGAAUCUUGGACAAUGGGCGCAAGCCUGAUCCAGCCAUGCCGCGUGAGUGAAGAAGGCCUUAGGGUUGUAAAGCUCUUUUACCAGGGACGAUAAUGACGGUACCUGGAGAAUAAGCCCCGGCAAACUUCGUGCCAGCAGCCGCCGUAA
rnacentral:rRNA from 1 species